GAGCCUGCCUCUGCAUUGAUGAGCAAACAGCACACAGCUCGGCUCUUACAGCAGUGGUAGAGUUUGAGGCAAUGGCUGUUCGUGCUCGCUCUCUGUGCUGUGGCCAUAUUUGAGAUCUGUUUCCUAGAAAUCGUCCCAUUUCAAGAUCUUAUCUCUGGAUUUGUCUUAUUUUAAUGAAAAGCAAGCAAAACAACAAUUCCACUGCAAACUUUUUUCAGGGGAUUAAAUCAUUUGGAUUGGACAGAAUCAUUGACAUUUGGACUCUUCUUCAACCAGAGGAAGAACGGAGGAAACGAGACCUCAUCAUUAAAGACAGGUUCAUCAGAAGAUGGGUGCAUAAAGAAGGCUUCAGUGGCUUCAAGAGGUAUGUGACUGCUGCAGAGGACAAGGAGCUGGAAGCGAAGAUCGCAGUAGUUGAAAAAUACAAUGUCAGGAUCCCAGAACUGGUAGAAAGGAUAGAGAGAUGCCACAUAGAAGAUUUGGACUUUGCAGGUAAGGAGAGCGGCCGUUGCCUUCCCUCCAAGAGGAGGAGUAGAUGGUCUUGAAGUAUGUCUGCGUCUGUGGCCGCCAGUGGCUGUGCUUUAAGAGAAAGGCAGACAGGAAGAGAAAGGUGGUCUUGAUCCCCAGCGCCACGUUGAAUAAUGAGUAACUAAGGAAGCAGGGCACUUGUUUUCCCACCAGCUCUUUUUAUUUCUAUUCGACUUCCAAGGAGUAGAAUUUCCUAGACCUGACAUGGCCAUGUGUAACUUUG
rnacentral:lncRNA from 1 species